UCAGUGGCGGACGGGUGAGUAACGCGUAGGUAUCUAUCCUUGGGUGGGGGACAACUGUGGGAAACUACAGCUAAUACCGCAUGAUAACUGAGGUUUAAAGGCGCAAGUCGCCUGAGGAGGAGCCUGCGUACGAUUAGCUAGUUGGCGGGGUAAAGGCCCACCAAGGCGACGAUCGUUAGCUGGUCUGAGAGGAUGAUCAGCCACAUUGGGACUGAGACACGGCCCAA
rnacentral:rRNA from 1 species